rnacentral:rRNA from 1 species
GACGAACGCUGGCGGCGUGCCUAAUACAUGCAAGUUGAGCGCUGAAGGUUGGUACUUGUACCAACUGGAUGAGCAGCGAACGGGUGAGUAACGCGUGGGGAAUCUGCCUUUGAGCGGGGGACAACAUUUGGAAACGAAUGCUAAUACCGCAUAAAAACUUUAAACACAAGUUUUAAGUUUGAAAGAUGCAAUUGCAUCACUCAAAGAUGAUCCCGCGUUGUAUUAGCUAGUUGGUGAGGUAAAGGCUCACCAAGGCGAUGAUACAUAGCCGACCUGAGAGGGUGAUCGGCCACAUUGGGACUGAGACACGGCCCAAACUCCUACGGGAGGCAGCAGUAGGGAAUCUUCGGCAAUGGACGAAAGUCUGACCGAGCAACGCCGCGUGAGUGAAGAAGGUUUGCGGAUCGUAAAACUCUGUUGGUAGAGAAGAACGUUGGUGAGAGUGGAAAGCUCAUCAAGUGACGGUAACUACCCAGAAAGGGACGGCUAACUACG